GGAGAACGGGAAGGAGACGCUACAGCGCGCAGAUCCUCCAAAGGCACACAUUGCCCACCACCCCAUCUCUGACCAUGAGGCCACCCUGAGGUGCUGGGCCCUGGGCUUCUACCCUGCGGAGAUCACGCUGACCUGGCAGCGGGACGGGGAGGAACAGACCCAGGACACAGAGCUUGUGGAGACCAGGCCUGCAGGGGAUGGAAACUUCCAGAAGUGGGCUGCUGUGGUGGUGCCUUCUGGAGAGGAACAGAGAUACACGUGCCAUGUGCAGCACGAGGGGCUGCCCCAGCCCCUCACCCUGAGAUGGGUCUCCCCAGCCCACCAUCCCCAUCGUGGGCAUCGUUGCUGGCCUUGUUGUCCUUGGAGCUGUGGUCACUGGAGCUGUGGUCGCUGCUGUGAUGUGGAGGAAGAAGAGCUCAGAUAGAAACAGAGGGAGCUACUCUCAGGCUGCAGUGUGAGACAGCUUCCUUGUGUGGGACUGAGAAGCAAGAUAUCAAUGUAGCAGAAUUGCACUUGUGCCUCACGAACAUACAUAAAUUUUAAAAAUAAAGAAUAAAAAUAUAUCUUUUUAUAGAUACA
rnacentral:sRNA from 1 species